CCUACGGGGGGCAGCAGUGGGGAAUAUUGGACAAUGGGGGCAACCCUGAUCCAGCCAUGCCGCGUGUGUGAAGAAGGCCCUCGGGUUGUAAAGCACUUUCAGUGAGGAAGAACGCCUGGUGGUUAAUACCCAUCAGGAAAGACAUCACUCACAGAAGAAGCACCGGCUAACUCCGUGCCAGCAGCCGCGGUAAUACGGAGGGUGCGAGCGUUAAUCGGAAUUACUGGGCGUAAAGCGCGCGUAGGUGGCUUGAUAAGCCGGUUGUGCAAGCCCCGGGCUCAACCUGGGAACGGCAUCCGGAACUGUCAAGCUAGAGUGCAGGAGAGGAAGGUAGAAUUCCCGGUGUAGCGGUGAAAUGCGUAGAGAUCGGGAGGAAUACCAGUGGCGAAGGCGGCCUUCUGGACUGACACUGACACUGAGGUGCGAAAGCGUGGGUAGCAAACAGGAUUAGAUACCCCAGUAGUC
rnacentral:rRNA from 1 species